AACGAACGCUGGCGGCAUGCCUAACACAUGCAUGUCGAACGAGACCUUCGGGUCUAGUGGCGCACGGGUGCGUAACGCGUGGGAACCUGCCCUUAGGUUCGGAAUAACUCCCCGAAAGGGGUGCUAAUACCGGAUAAUGUCUUCGGACCAAAGAUUUAUCGCCUUUGGAUGGGCCCGCGUUGGAUUAGCUAGUUGGUAGGGUAAAAGCCUACCAAGGCGACGAUCCAUAGCUGGUCUGAGAGGAUGAUCAGCCACACUGGGACUGAGACACGGCCCAGACUCCUACGGGAGGCAGCAGUGGGGAAUAUUGGACAAUGGGCGAAAGCCUGAUCCAGCAAUGCCGCGGGAGUGAUGAAGGCCUUAGGGUUGUAAAGCUCUUUUACCCGGGAUGAUAAUGACAGUACCGGGAGAAUAAGCACCGGCUAACUCCGUG
rnacentral:rRNA from 1 species